rnacentral:rRNA from 1 species
UACGUAGGGUGCAAGCGUUGUCCGGAAUUAUUGGGCGUAAAGAGCUCGUAGGCGGUUUGUUGCGUCGGCUGUGAAAUCCCGAGGCUCAACCUCGGGUCUGCAGUCGAUACGAGCAAACUAGAGUGUUGCAGGGGAGACUGGAAUUCCUGGUGUAGCGGUGAAAUGCGCAGAUAUCAGGAGGAACACCGGUGGCGAAGGCGGGUCUCUGGGCAACUACUGACGCUGAGGAGCGAAAGCGUGGGUAGCAAACAGG